rnacentral:rRNA from 1 species
AUGGGGAAGCGGCCGCCGCUCGUCAUCCUCUCCUCUUCCUCUGACGACGAUGGCGGCGGGGGCCGUUGCACGGCUAGCCGCGGCCCGUCGACGCGCAGGACAAGGACUCCCGCGACGGCGCCGCCCGCGAAGCAGGCGCCGAGCAGCUCGAGGAAGAAGCCGCGCCGCGGGAGCAGCGGGGGAAGGGGGCGCCGUCGUGCUUCGGGCACCGUGCUGUCCGGCUCCCUGAAGGAUGAAUUCGACAUGCUAACUGAAGAUUUUUCGGAAUGUCUAAAUGACUUGGGCGUGUCAGGGUCUAUGCGUCAAACGGAAGAGCUUUGGAUUGACAAGUAUAAACCACUCUCAUCGGGAGAGCUUGCUGUUCACAAAAAGAAGGUUGAAGAUGUAAAGAACUGGUUGGAAGAAAAGCUGAAGGCACCAAAGGGAACAUUUGGAGGACGGAGUCUUGUCCUUACUGGCCAAGCUGGUGUUGGAAAAUCUGCAACUGUCAAAGCGAUUGCUGCUGAGGUAGGAGCUGACUUAUGUGAGUGGACAACCCCAGUACCAACACUAUGGGCUGAGCUUGUGCAUGCUAAUUCAGAACUUGAGUAUGUAUCCAAGUUGGAAGAAUUUGAAAAUUUUGUGAACAAGAUAAGGAAAUACUCAUUGCUUUCUCCAACCAGCAUUGGAUCCCAAAGAAAGCUAAUCAUCAUUCUGAUUGAUGACAUCCCUAUAACAAGUGGAAAAGCUUCAUUUGCAAGACUAGGGAAAUGUUUAACAGGACUAAUUCAAACUACUCAAAUACCAACUGUCAUUUCACUUACUCACCAUCACAAAAAUGAGGCUAAUGAUACUGCAACGUGGAACUCCGAGGAACUUGAGUCCUUGCUUCAAGGUGCUGGUGCUCAUAAGAUUGUUUUCAAUCCGGUAACCAUAAGUUCUAUGAAAAAAAUUCUUCUUAGAAUAUGCAAACAAGGAGGCUCUGGCACAACUGAAGAAUUAGUGCAUCAAAUUGCUACAUCUUGUGGAGGUGAUAUCAGACAUGCGAUAAUGUCUCUUCAAUACUAUUGUCUUAAUCCACGAAGGCUAGAUUCUGCAUUGGCAAUAAGUGCUUCUUUGUCGGAUUUAAAGGGUCAUGCUACUCUAGCUCCAGCGCAGGACUGUUAUGGCCUCGGCUCUGUAAUUCAUUCUCCAUGCGGAAGGGAUGAGACACUUACAUUAUUUCAUGCAUUAGGGAAGUUUCUGCACAAUAAAAGGGAAACCCAUGUUGAUGUCAACAUUGAUCUGGAUUCAUUUUCUCUCAAAGAACAGCUAAGAAGAAAUCCACUAAAAAUGGAUGUUCCAGAGAUGAUUCUUUCUCAAGCACACGGAAAAGUACGAACUGUUGCUGACUUUCUACAUGAAAAUGUUGUUGAUUUCAUCGACGAUGAUGCUGUUGAUGAUGCAUGGGUUGUGAUGUCAUAUUUGAGUGAGGCAGACUGCCUUCUUGCUGGCAGUCCAAUCGCAUCGGCUCGUUGGACUGUAAAUGAAUCAAAUGAGUUAGAAAACAUGUCACAACUUAUUGCUGCCUCUGUUGCAGCACGAGGAGUUCUUUUUGGAAAUGCACAUCCCUCACCCUCAAGAUGGCAUACAAUACGCAGCCCUAAGGUCUGGCAAAUUGAGCGUACAUUUCGAUCCACAAAGGGUCUGAUUCUUAAAGAAAGAUUUGAUUCGUCUAGCACGUCUGGUUCUCGCAACUUCUCCGAGGUGGUCACUGACUUCAGGCCUUUCGAGAGAUGGAUAAGCCCCCACAAUGAUAUGGCCAGAAAUAACCCCUCACGCCACGACGUCGCAGGUGGCCCAAACUCCAUUGACAUGCUUGAUGCUGAAGGGAAUAACUGUGAAGAAGAUGAAGAUGAGAUAGAAGAAUGGUAA